rnacentral:rRNA from 1 species
AGUGAACGCUGGCGGUAGGCCUAACACAUGCAAGUCGAACGGCAGCACAGUAAGAGCUUGCUCUUACGGGUGGCGAGUGGCGGACGGGUGAGGAAUAUAUCGGAAUCUACUUUUUCGUGGGGGAUAACGUAGGGAAACUUACGCUAAUACCGCAUACGACCUACGGGUGAAAGCAGGGGAUCUUCGGACCUUGCGCGAUUGAAUGAGCCGAUGUCGGAUUAGCUAGUUGGCGGGGUAAAGGCCCACCAAGGCGACGAUCCGUAGCUGGUCUGAGAGGAUGAUCAGCCACACUGGAACUGAGACACGGUCCAGACUCCUACGGGAGGCAGCAGUGGGGAAUAUUGGACAAAGGGCGCAAGCCUGAUCCAGCCAUACCGCGUGGGUGAAGAAGGCCUUCGGGUUGUAAAGCCCUUUUGUUGGGAAAGAAAAGCAGCAGGUUAAUACCCCGCUGUUCUGACGGUACCCAAAGAAUAAGCACCGGCUAACUUCGUG